rnacentral:rRNA from 1 species
GAUUCCCUUAGUAACGGCGAGCGAACAGGGAAUAGUCCAGCGCCAAGUCUUGACAUUYGACAUGUUCAAGAGAUGCGGCGUUUAUGUAUUGGCGCAUCGUGCAUUGCUUUAGAUUCCAAGUUCCUUUGACAGGGACAUCCAGAGCGGGUGCUAGGCCCAUAGGGAUCAAAAGCCGAUGUACGCCGGUCAAUACAUUCUAGAGUCAGGUUGCUUGAGAGUGCAGCUUAAAGUCGGUGGUAAACUCCAUCCAAGACUAAAUAUGACAGCGAGACCGAUAGCAAACAAGUACCGUGAGGGAAAGUUGCAAAGCACUUUGAAGAGAGAGUUCAACAGUACGUGAAACCACUGGGAGGCAAACAGAUGGAACCACGAAGUUGCGCCUCGGUCGAUUCAAUCAAUCGCCAACGGCCAACAAGUGUUGGUUGGUGGGUCUUUUCGGAGAUCACCCCAAUGCUGUUGAGUCGCGAGCGUUGGUGCAUUUCGUACCGAGGAUGCUAAGCCACGUUCGACUAGAUAGUUGGGACGGCCGUAGGAUAGGAUCCGAGAAAGGUGCCCGUCAGGUGCUUGCACUUGGCGGCGUUAUAGUCUCGGAUCGGAACCGUCGCCAAACAUACUGGUCGAUGCAAUUGCUCCGAAAGGAGUAGAACUGUGUUUGCUGGUGAUCAUCAGUCGAUGUUUCGGAAUGUUCUUUGCGUAUCGUGAGGUGCGAAAAGCCGUUCCAACAAUGUUGGCUUAUGGUUGCCUGCGUUGCACGGUAGAACUGUGGCGCGAGUAGGUCGGUGUCCAUCUGACCCGUCUUGAAACACGGACCAAGGAGCCUAUCAUAUACGCGAGUCGCUCGGUCUUGUUUAGGCCCGGGAGGCGAAAUGAAAGUAAAGCUACGAGGCUUCGGUCGCAGUAGCGGCCCGCCUACUCCGUUUAUUGGCGGUAGGGCGGAGCUGGAGCGUAUACGAUGGUACCCGAAAGAUGGUGAACUAUGCCUGGGCAAGACGAAGCCAGAGGAAACUCUGGUGGAGGUCUGUAGCGAUUCUGACGUGCAAAUCGAUCGUCAGACCUGGGUAUAGGGGCGAAAGACUAAUCGAACCAUCUAGUAGCUGGUUCCCUCCGAAGUUUCCCUCAGGAUAGCAGGCGCUUAUUGUUGUUCAGUCUCAUCCGGUAAAGCUAAUGAUUAGAGGUCUUGGGGUUGAAACGACCUCAACCUAUUCUCAAACUUUAAAUGGGUGAGAUGGUCGACUUGCUUGAUUGAAGCCGACCAAUUGGAUGAGAGUGCCUAGUGGGCCAUUUUUGGUAAGCAGAACUGGCGCUGUGGGAUGAACCAAACGUCGAGAUAAGGCAUCAAAUGCAUACGCUCAUCAGACCCCAUAAAAGGUGUUGGUUGCUAUAGACAGCAGGACGGUGGCCAUGGAAGUCGGAAUCC